UACGUAGGGGGCGAGCGUUGUCCGGAUUUAUUGGGCGUAAAGCGCGUGUAGGCGGCCAGAUAGGUCUGCUGUUAAAACUCGAGGCUCAACCUCGAGAGGUCGGUGGAAACCAUUUGGCUAGAGUCCGGAAGAGGAGAGUGGAAUUCCCGGUGUAGCGGUGAAAUGCGCAGAUAUCGGGAAGAACACCCAUGGCGAAGGCAGCUCUCUGGGACGGUACUGACGCUGAGACGCGAAAGCGUGGGGAGCGAACAGG
rnacentral:rRNA from 1 species